GAAAAAAAAAAAAAUAUUAUGCUGAGGUUGCUAAGAUUUAAGGUAAGAAACAAAUCUCCCCAUUCGUGAAAUUGUGAAAAAAAGAAAAAAAAAACUCAUGCUAGUUUUGCUGUUGCACCUCUAACUGCAAAAGUUGUGGCCACAGUGCAUCGUAAAUGCUUAGUUAAGAUGGAAAAGGCAUUAAAUUUGCAGAUGGAAGAAAUGAACAGAAACAUGUCAGGUUCAGUAUUUUCUGUUUUCAAGAAUCCACUGAGGGCCUUGGAACAUACUCCCUGAAGGUAAGGGUAAACUACUGUAUGAGGUAUCUAGAGUAGCCACAUUCACAGAAACAGAAAGCAGAAGGGUGGUUGUUGCUAGGGGCUGGGAGAAGGGGGAAAUGAGGAAUUGUUAAAUGGGUAUGGAGUGUCAGUUUUAGUUCUGGAGAUUGGUUGCAGGGCAAUAUGAAUGUACUUAACAUUACUGACUCAUACACUUAAAAGUAGUUAAGAUUGUGGCAGUCGCAGGUGCAUCGCUCUCUGGUUCAGGCGUGUGAGUGUCGGCCACGAUCUCUGCGCUGGGAUGAGCCGUGCUCCCAGUGGAAGCAAGGGAACCCAGCCGCAGCAGCCAUGGCCAGUACAGUGGUAGCAGUUGGACUGACCAUCGCAGCUGCAGGAUUUACAGGUGGUUAUGUUUUGCAAGCCAUGGAGCAUAUGGAGCCUCAAGUAAAACAAGUUUUUCAAAGUCUACCAAAAUCUGCCUUCAGUGGUGGCUUUUACAGAGGUGGGUCUGAACCCAAAAUGACAAAAUGGGCAGCAACAUUAAUACUAGGUGUAAGCCCUACUGCCAAUAAAGGGAAAAUAAGAGAUGCUCAUUGACGAAUUAUGCUUUUAAAUCAUCCUGACAAAGGAGGAUCUCCUUAUAUAGCAGCCAAAAUCAAUGAAGCUAAAGAUCUACUAGAAGGUCAAGCUAAAAAAUGAAGUAAAUAUAUCAUGAAUUUUAAGUUCAUACUAGUUUAUGUAUAUGAGUAUUUUUAUAAUAAAAUGCCUCAGAGCUACAGUUUUAAAAAAUGAUUUAGCACAAGCUAAAUCUCAAAGCCUUGGUAUAAUUUUGUUGUUUAAACAUAGGGAUUUUAAAUUAGACUAUAGUUUAGAAUAUUUGCAUAUUAAUUAUGGGCAAACACACACCAUUUGAAGAGGAAUAUUGUUCAUUCCUCGUUUAGCAGAUGAUUUGGGACCUAUGUCUACUCUUCAAGGCAAAGUGAAGAUGACAGUCCUUGCUCUCAGGGAGCCCCCACUUUAAUGGGAGGCCAAUAAACUGGUAAUUGGGCUAUGUGAUAAAUAGUAUGAUAGAAAUUCGCUCAAGCUGUUCAAGUACAGAGUCUUAUGAGGUAAAAAAGGCUGUUCCAGGUAUAGUCAACUGGCCCAGCAACUUGGAUAGUUGGAACCUUGUAUUUAAAAGUGAAUUUAGCCACAACUUAGACCUAAGAAAUUGACCUAGGGGUGUGGGUGGGUGUGUAUGCAUUCUAUUUACAUACAUAUAUUUAUAAACAGAAUAUUUAUUUCAUACAUUAAAAACAGUAUGAUAAAGAUUUUAGAGUACGGGUCUGGCACAAUCACAGCUCAUUGCAACCGCAACCUCCUGGGCUCAAGCAAUCCUCCCACCUCAGCCUCCCAAAGUGCUUGGAUUACAGGCAUGAGAAGUAUUUACUUUGUAUUCAGCUAGCCCCUAAAAGGUACUGACCAUUUAUAAAUUAUUCCUUCAGUUGACUAUUUCUUGAGGAGCUUCUGUAAUUGUUAUGAUUAAGCUUAAACACUGUUAGCAAAACUGAAAUAUCAAAAUAUUCAAUUUGGACUAUUAAGAAUUUAUACACUAAUAAAUUUAAAUGAUGUUU